rnacentral:rRNA from 1 species
UUCUGGUUGAUCCUGCCGGACCUGACUGCUAUCGGAUUGAUACUAAGCCAUGCGAGUCAUUGUAGCAAUACAAGGCAUACGGCUCAGUAACGCGUAGUCAACCUAACCUAUGGACGGGAAUAACCUCGGGAAACUGAGAAUAAUGCCCGAUAGAACAUUAUACCUGGAAUGGUUUAUGUUCCAAAUGAUUUAUCGCCGUAGGAUGGGACUGCGGCCUAUCAGUUUGUUGGUGAGGUAAUGGCCCACCAAGACUAUUACAGGUACGGGCUCUGAGAGGAGUAGCCCGGAGAUGGGUACUGAGACACGGACCCAGGCCCUAUGGGGCGCAGCAGGCGAGAAAACUUUGCAAUGUGCGAAAGCACGACAAGGUUAAUCCGAGUGAUUUCUGCUAAAGAAAUCUUUUGUUAGUCCUAGAAACACUAACGAAUAAGGGGUGGGCAAGUUCUGGUGUCAGCCGCCGCGGUAAAACCAGCACCUCAAGUGGUCAGGAUGAUUAUUGGGCCUAAAGCAUCCGUAGCCGGCUCUGUAAGUUUUCGGUUAAAUCUGUACGCUUAACGUACAGGCCGCCGGGAAUACUGCAAAGCUAGGGAGUGGGAGAAGUAGACGGUACUCGGUAGGAAGUGGUAAAAUGCUUUGAUCUAUCGAUGACCACCUGUGGCGAAGGCGGUCUACUAGAACACGUCCGACGGUGAGGGAUGAAAGCUGGGGGAGCAAACCGGAUUAGAUACCCGGGUAGUCCCAGCUGUAAACUAUGCAAACUCAGUGAUGCAUUGGCUUGUGGCCAACGCAGUGCUGCAGGGAAGCCGUUAAGUUUGCCGCCUGGGAAGUACGUACGCAAGUAUGAAACUUAAAGGAAUUGGCGGGGGAGCACCACAAGGGGUGAAGCCUGCGGUUCAAUUGGAUUCAACGCCGGA